UAUAGGGGGUGCAAGCGUUAAUCGGAAUUACUGGGCGUAAAGCGUGCGUAGACGGUUAUGUAAGUCGGGUGUGAAAGUCCCGGGCUCAACCUGGGAAUUGCAUUCGAGACUGCAUAGCUAGGGUGCGGAAGAGGGAAGCGGAAUUUCCGGUGUAGCGGUGAAAUGCGUAGAUAUCGGAAGGAACACCAGUGGCGAAAGCGGCUUCCUGGUCCAGCACCGACGUUCAGGCACGAAAGCGUGGGGAGCAAACAGG
rnacentral:rRNA from 1 species